ACUAAACUAAUGCUAGACCAAGGGACCACAACCUGCGGCUCAUUAAAGACUUUUGUGGCUUCAGUCCUUGAUCGAUCGAACACGCUUUGAUGUUUUGGCAUUUAAAUAACAGCAUUGGAGCUCGUAAAGUGGAGUAGUUUGUAGAUGGGGAUGUGACCUCUUGUGAAAUUGCCUGGCGACAAAUCCAUGUAACUGAGGACAGAGGCCCAGGCCAAAAGGAGGAGGCAGCUGGUCUUUUGACUCACAAUCUCAAAGACUGUAAGGGUCAGUCAGACAGAGAGAUUUGGGGAAGAAGACCAAGAACAGGUGCUGUUAUGCCAAGCUGAACAAAAGGAAUGUUUUUAGGUUAACCAUCAAGCAGAGAUUCCCUAGUUGAAGAGACAAGGUUUGUGGAGAGUUGAAGACCAAGGAGUCGCCAUACGGUGCCUUGCUAGUGGAAAUCCAUUCGAUUAUGUUCAGAAGAGGGAACUUUGUUUAAAAGGACACUAAGUUUCACCCUGAUGGGGCAUGGAGAAGAGAUGCUUUUGAAGCUGGGAGAAGCUUGGGACUUUACACUGUACUCUCAGCAGAGACUUGUAUGUAAUGGAUAAGCGGGGUUUUUGGGUGUGUUAAUUAGUUAAUGGGGAAAAUACCUUUUCUGUAGUUUUGUGUAUUAGUUGCCUACUUAGUAAUGUUUAGUUGAUGU